UACGGAGGGAGCUAGCGUUGUUCGGAAUUACUGGGCGUAAAGCGCACGUAGGCGGCGAUCCAAGUCAGGGGUGAAAUCCCGGGGCUCAACCCCGGAACUGCCCUUGAAACUAGGUUGCUAGAAUACUGGAGAGGUGAGUGGAAUUCCGAGUGUAGAGGUGAAAUUCGUAGAUAUUCGGAAGAACACCAGUGGCGAAGGCGACUCACUGGACAGUUAUUGACGCUGAGGUGCGAAAGCGUGGGGGGCAAACAGG
rnacentral:rRNA from 1 species